rnacentral:rRNA from 1 species
UGGGGGAUAUUGCACAAUGGGCGAAAGCCUGAUGCAGCGACGCCGCGUGGGGGAUGAAGGCUUUCGGGUCGUAAACCUCUUUCGCUAUCGAACAAGGCCCGCUUAGGGUGGGCUGAGGGUAGGUGGAGAAGAAGCGCCGGCUAACUACGUGCCAGCAGCCGCGGUAAUACGUAGGGCGCGAGCGUUGUCCGGAAUUAUUGGGCGUAAAGGGCUUGUAGGCGGCUUGUUGCGCCUGCUGUGAAAACGCGGAGCUUAACUUCGCGCGUGCAAUGGGUACGGGCGGGCUUGAGUGUGGUAGGGGUGACUGGAAUUCCGGGUGUAGCGGUAGAAUGCGCAGAUAUCUGGAGGAACACCGAUGGCGAAGGCAGGUCACUGGGCCAUUACUGACGCUGAGGAGCGAAAGCAUAGGUAGCGAACAGG